ACGUAGGGGGCGAGCGUUGUCCGAAUUUACUGGGCGUAAAGCGCGCGUAGGCGGUUUCUUAAGUCUGGGGUGAAAGGUUCAACGCUCAACGUGAACAGUGCCUUGGAUACUGGGAGACUUGAGUCUGGGAGGGGGUAGUGGAAUUCCUGGUGUAGCGGUGAAAUGCGUAGAUAUCGAGAGGAACACCUGCGGCGAAGGCGGGUUGCUGGGCUGACACUGACGCUGAUGCGCGAAAGCUAGGGGAGCGAACGGGA
rnacentral:rRNA from 1 species